AAAAAAUUUUUAAAUAAAAAUAUUUAAUGGGGGUUAAAGUAUUUUUAUAGAAAAAAUUAAAUAAUUUAAAGUAAAUUAGUAUUGUUAAAGAAUUUUGAAAUAAUUGAAAUAUAAAAUUAUAAUAAAGUAAUUUUAAUUUAAUGUAUCUUGUGUAUCAGAGUUUAUUAAAAAAUAUUUAUAAAAAAAAAAUUCUCGAAUUUAAAAGAGAUAAUUAAUUAUUAAAGUUAUUGUAGCAUAAAUAUUUUAAAUAAUUAAUUGGAAAUGAAAUGUUAAUCGUUUUUAAAUAUAUCUAGUUUUUUUAGAAAAAAUUUUAAUUUUAUAUUAAUUUUUUAAAAUAAUUAAUUAAUUAAUUAUUUUAAAAAUUAAUAUUAUAUUUUAAGGGAUAAGCUUUAAUUUAAAUUUAUAUAAAUAUUUUUGAUUUAAUUUGAAUUUUAUAUAAUUUAUAUUGUUAAAAAAUUUUAAUUUAUUAUAAAUAAUUUCAUUUAAAAUAAAAUUUAAUAUAAUUUUAUAUAUUUAUAAAGAAAAAUUUUUUAAUUAAAAAAUAAUUAUUAUAAUGAUAAAAUUAGUAUAUAAAAUUAAAAUUAAAAAUUAAUUUUUUAAUAAAAUUAAUUAAAAGGAAUUCGGCAAAAAUUUAUAUUCACUUGUUUAUCAAAAACAUGUCUUUUUGAAAAUAAUAUAAAGUCUAAUCUGCCCACUGAUUUUAUAAAUUGAAGGGCUGCAGUAUUUUGACUGUACAAAGGUAGCAUAAUCAUUAGUCAUUUAAUUGAUGACUUGUAUGAAAGAUUGGAUGAAAUAUAAUCUGUCUCUUAAUUAUAUAUAUAUAGAAUUUAAUUUUUUAAUUAAAAAGUUAAAAUAAGUUAAAAAGACGAGAAGACCCUAUAGAGUUUUAUAAAUAAGUUAAUUAAGGUUAUUUAUAAAAAAAAUAUUAAAAUUAAUUUAUUUAUUUUGUUGGGGUGACAGAAAAAUAAAUAAAACUUUUUUUAUAUAAAAACAUAUAUAAAUGAUUAAGUGAUCCAUUAAUAUUGAUUAAAAGAAAAAAUUACCUUAGGGAUAACAGCGUAAUUUUUUUUUUUAGUUCAUAUAAGAAAAAGAGUUUGCGACCUCGAUGUUGGAUUAAGAUAAAAUUUAAAUGUAGAAGUUUAAAAUUUUUGAUCUGUUCGAUCAUUAAAAUCUUACAUGAUCUGAGUUCAAACCGGUGUAAGCCAGGUUGGUUUCUAUCUUUUAAAAAUUAAAAUAUUUUAGUACGAAAGGAUUAAAUAUUUAAAUUAAAUUUAUUUUGAUGAAUUUUAAUAAUUUUAUAUUUAAAUAAUU
rnacentral:rRNA from 1 species